rnacentral:lncRNA from 1 species
CAUUCUCCAAGCCUUCCCUUGCCUCUCCUUACAUAUCUAAACCUUCCCCAUCCAUUCCUCCAUAUAACCAACCAUUCAACCACCAUAACCACCUUGUGUCGCCACCAUUGAAGGAGAGGAGAGGUCAGAGGCAAAGGGGCUUAGAGUGAGAAAAGGCAAGGAGAAACUGACGGGAGCAACACAAAGAGCAAAGUUUCACUCCAUUUUUCUUGGUUUUAUCUUCUCAAACCCAUGUUUUACUUUUGGUUUAAUU